rnacentral:rRNA from 1 species
UACGUAGGGUGCAAGCGUUGCCCGGAUUUAUUGGGCGUAAAGGGCACGUAGGCGGCUCGGCACGUCCGUUGUGAAAUCGCCCGGCUCAACUGGGCGGGGUCGGCGGAUACGGCCGAGCUGGAGCAAGCUAGGGGGUAAUGGAAUUCCCGGUGUAGUGGUGGAAUGCGUAGAUAUCGGGAGGAACACCAGUGGCGAAGGCGGUUACCUGGAGCUUUGCUGACGCUGAUGCGCGAAAGCGUGGGGAGCGAGUCGG